ACUCCUACGGGAGGCAGCAGUGGGGAAUAUUGGACAAUGGGCGAAAGCCUGAUCCAGCCAUGCCGCGUGAGUGAUGAAGGCCCUAGGGUUGUAAAGCUCUUUUGUGCGGGAAGAUAAUGACGGUACCGCAAGAAUAAGCCCCGGCUAACUUCGUGCCAGCAGCCGCGGUAAU
rnacentral:rRNA from 3 species